rnacentral:rRNA from 1 species
UACGGGGGGAGCAAGCGUUGUUCGGAUUUACUGGGCGUAAAGGGCGCGUAGGCGGCCACCGCAAGUCGACUGUGAAAUCUCCGGGCUUAACCCGGAAAGGUCAGCCGAUACUGCGGGGCUAGAGUGCAGAAGGGGCAACUGGAAUUCUCGGUGUAGCGGUGAAAUGCGUAGAUAUCGAGAGGAACACCUGCGGCGAAGGCGGGUUGCUGGGCUGACACUGACGUUGAGGCGCGAAAGCUAGGGGAGCGAACGGG